AUGAAAGCAUCGGUAAGUUGGACUUCAGCAAAAUCUAAAACUCUUGUGUUUUGAAACAUGUCAUCAGUAAAGGAAGACAAUGGAGCCCCCAGAAGGCGAGAAAAUGUUUGUAAUUGAUAGAUACUUGCCGGGAGAAGGCUUUUUGAAGAAUAAAAGCUUAACAAGCCAGUUUACAUACCCAGUGGUGGAACACCAGAUGCUAUCAGGCUGACUGGAAGUCAGAAAUUAAACAUUCCGGGGACAGUGCUGUGGUGCACUGGGUAAAGCCACCAUCUGCAGUGCUGGAAUCCCAUAUGGGUGCUGGUUUGAGCCCUGUUGCUCUAUUUCUGAUCCAGUUCCCUGCUAUGGCCUGGGAAAGCAGUAGAAGGCGGCCCGAGUGCUUGGGCCCCUGCACCCAUGUGGGAGAUCCGGAAGAAGCUCCUGGCUCCUGGCUUCAGCCUGGCUCAGCCCUGGCUGUUGCAGCCAUUUGAGAGAGUAGAUGGUAGAUCUCCCUCUCUCUCUCUCUCUCUCUCUCAUAUUGACUUUCAAAUAAAUAAAUCUUUACAAAAAGAAAGAAAACAUCCCUCAGUGCCAGGCUUUGAUUUGCAAUCAGCUCUGUGCAAGCAGAACAGGAAAUCCAGUGUCUCUUGCUGGAGCCCAAGGCUCAUUCAGCAUGGUCCCCCUGGAACCCAGCGAGAGAGGCGGGGUGUGUGUGUGUGUGUGUGUGUGUGUUUGUGUGUGUGGCUGACUUCUGUGACACCCGUGCGGGCAGCCCUCCUGUCUCCCUGGAAGCCUUCUGCUUGUUCUGGCCGCUCGCCCCUGGUCCUGCGUAGCAGUGAGAUGAGCCCACCUUGGGGCCAGGCCCAGUGCACAGGUGACCCUGGUGCCUGCCCGGGCAGUGUGUACACGGCAGCCCUCUGUGCCCGUGGGAAUACUGGAGGGCAGACGGACAUCCUAAACGAAGACGAGAGAACGCCGAGCACUGGACUUCUCGCUCGCUUCAAGACGGUCCAAACAGACCUCUCCACGUUUCUAAACGUCAUUCCACCUCUGGACCUGGGCCCGCUGUCCAUCGCGUGCUGUGGGCACGCCUCUGUUUCUGCACCCCCGAGCCACGAGCUGCCACCCCUCUCUCGUGGCUGUGCUCACGGAGCUGUGACACAGGCCCAGGCGGCAGGGGAGGGAGGCAGGCGCAGCAGCGCUCUCUGCUCACACCCACGUGCGCAGCCAGGGACGCCGGGGACAAGCGGCCAGGAGGGCGUUUCCGUGACACCUCCCGAGCAGCGAGGCAGCGGCCUGUGUUACUCCGGAGAAAAGGUCCCCACAGCGCGAGGGCCCCAGGACGGCCUCUGGCCGGAGGUCUGGACCCGGAGGACCAGGGGUGCCCCUCUGUGUCUGGACGCCUCUCCUGCCCUGCUCAUCCUGACCGGACACAGAAUGGCCAGGGCAUCUCCGUGGAAAAUAAAACAGGACACCCAGCCAUUCUGUCGAUCUGGGGGCUCAUCACGCAGAAUCUCCCUGGGUGGAAAAGCAGUUCUCUUCCCAUCAGCAAACUCCAAACUCUGCCGUGGCCACGCUGGUGACUGCCAGUUAAUGCCAGUGUGGGAGGUGGCUGCUGUUCAAAGCAUCGCAUUGUCUGCCUUCCCAGUGACUGAGGAAAGGUGUGGAAGCCCCUUUGCUUGGCAGAGCGCCACUUCAUUGCCACUGAGUGUGUGUACAGGAACAUCACCUGCUGUGUGCACAGGGCCAUCACCUCCUGUGUGUACAGUAAUGUCACCUCCCUUGUGUACAGGACCAUCACCAGCUGUGUGUGUACAGGACCAUCACCAGCUGUGUGUGUACAGGGGCAUCACCUCCUGUGUGUACAGUAAUGUCACCUCCCGUGUGUACAGGGACAUCUUCUACAGUGUGUAGAACAAGAAUACCAGCUACUGCAUGUAGUAUAGGACCAUCACCUCUUGUGUGUACAGGGCAUCACCUCCUGUGUGUACAGGGCCAUCACCUCUUGUGUGUACAGGGGCAUCACCUCCUGUGUGUAUGGAACCAUCAUCUCCUGCAUGUACAGUAACA
rnacentral:lncRNA from 1 species